rnacentral:lncRNA from 10 species
UAACUUGUCCAAGAUAGCACAAUGAAUACAUGCAGAGCUAAAAUUUGCACCUUAGUUUGCUUGAUGUUAAAGAAUAUGCUCUUUUCAUUACACUUGUUUGCAAAAAAUGAUAUCAGCAGUUGGCAGUGCAGUUGCGGGAAGGGGACAGAUUCAAAGGUUGUUUCAAAAUACACAGUUGAAGAGGACACAUUGGAUGUGGAGAAAAUGAAAGGCCUAAGGAUUCUCUUCCUCUGGGUGGACACGCUUAACCCUAGUACAAUGUGAAGUGGAACCUGGCCUCAAUUUCGUCUCAAAUGUCCCCUCAGCUGUGUGCCUCCUGCUACACCUGCUAUUAGAGUCAGCUGCAUUUGAUCCCAAGUCUGCUCCUACUGUAUGAUCUUGUCAUUGUAAUUAUGUGAGUUAACCAAUUAUUAUGUAAAUUAAUACAAAUAAAAUGUUUUAAUUUCUUAAAAUAAAAUCUAUGCAGAAUGCU